UAGCGGAGGAGAUAGAGACCCCAGAAGAUGCCACUGUUGCCGGCUUAGUCACAGCAACACUUUGGCUUUUGGUCUUAUGUUCUUAGCCUGUCCACAAAAUGGGGCCCUGGCUGAGAGCAGAAGCCUGAACAGGGAUUAUUUAUAGCAGCUCUGGUGAGCAGCUGGGUGGAAGAAGAAGUGGAAACAGCUGCAGAAGAGUUGGACACUUUCCAAGAUCCCUCCUGUGACCUUGUGAUCCUUGCUUGUCUGGGCUGAUGGUAAUAGCACACAGAAACAUCCUCUACCACCUUCAGCCUGCUGGGAUUUCUCUUAAUGAGGAGACCAUGACCUCUUAGACAUGUGUUGGUCACCAUGCUCUUUGUAAAGACUCCAGGGGCACCCUCGGCAAUCUAUGGUUGGUAUCUCUUGUUACCUCGAUACAUCGCAAGCAUUUCACAAUGUGGUCUGUCUCCUCCUUCAUUCCUGUCUCCUCUGCCCUUGAAGAUAGAAGUCUUCCAGCUACUUUCUUUCUCUUCUUCCCUGUUGUCCUAUGUUCUCCCUUUCCUGCGAUUGCACACACCCUGGAUUCAUCCAUCUUCAUAUUACACAUGUCUCUAAGCAAUUCCAGGAGCUCCUGUGGUUUCAGCCUCUCCUGUUGAUGUGGCAUUAUCUCCUCACCAGCCUUUCCAGGCUCCAAGCCUCCAUUCUCUACUCCACUCCACGGCAGUGCAUGGAUGCCCUGCACACUGCAUCUUCCAGACCUUGAGGCCAGUUGCUUCCCAUUAGCCCCUUUAAUGCAAGACAUUGGCAGUAGACAGGAAAAUAAGAUGAAGGGUGAAGACAGUCCCUUUCAUUUCCAGCUCUGGCCAGCAGCACCCCAACAGCAACAGAUGGUUGGCUCCAGGCUCCAACUCCUUUUGGCUUUCUCAGCAGCCUUGCAAUAACCCUUGAAGGAACUAACAGCACCCAGCACCCAUAAAGGCAUGGCUGGGCCACAACCUGUUUUGCUGUGUACCCUGGUUCUCCAUGGCCCCUGUUUGGCCGUAUCUUCUCCUCAAAAGUCUGAACAUUGGCUGCAGGAUGUCUCCACCCCACUUGUCUGGGCCCCAGCCAUGGAGCACUCCUUCCUUAAAGUCUUAAGCAUCAUUCAUGAGCUGUUCUUGACUUAGAGGUCUGAGCACCAGCUGUGCUGUGUCCCAUACUCACACAUCCAGCCUCCAGCUGUAGGUAGCUAACACCAGGAUUUCGGACCCCUGCCGCUGAUAGCGCCUUUCCCAUGUCCUCCUCUGGGCCCGUAGUUAUUAAUCUCUGUGGACAUUUGACCAUCUGCUACCUGUGUAAGCAAUCCUUUGCAUUAAAUUUCGUGUUCUGAAUACCCA